UACAGAGGGGGCAAGCGUUAUUCGGAAUUAUUGGGCGUAAAGGGCGCGUAGGCGGGCAGGCAAGUCGAAGGUGAAAUCCCACGGCUCAACCGUGGAAGUGCCCCCGAUACUGCCUGUCUCGAGGGAGAUAGGGGCGUGCGGAACUUCCGGUGGAGCGGUGAAAUGCGUAGAUAUCGGAAGGAACACCGGUGGCGAAAGCGGCGCGCUGGAUCUCUUCUGACGCUGAUGCGCGAAAGCCAGGGGAGCAAACGGG
rnacentral:rRNA from 1 species